rnacentral:rRNA from 1 species
UACGUAGGGUGCAAGCGUUGUCCGGAAUUAUUGGGCGUAAAGAGCUCGUAGGCGGUCUGUCGCGUCUGCUGUGAAAACUCGGGGCUUAACCCCGGGCCUGCAGUGGGUACGGGCAGACUAGAGUGCGGUAGGGGAGACUGGAAUUCCUGGUGUAGCGGUGAAAUGCGCAGAUAUCAGGAGGAACACCGGUGGCGAAGGCGAGUCCCUGGACGAUACCUGACACUGAGGCACGAAAGCCAAGGGAGCAAACAGG